rnacentral:rRNA from 1 species
CCUACGGGAGGCAGCAGUAGGGAAUAUUGCUCAAUGGGGGAAACCCUGAAGCAGCAACGCCGCGUGGAGGAUGAAGGUUUUCGGAUUGUAAACUUCUUUUGUUAGAGAAGAUAAUGGCGUUAUCUAACGAACAAGCACCGGCUAAUUCCGUGCCAGCAGCCCCCGUAAUACGGAGGGCGCAAGCGUUACUCGGAAUGACUGGGCGUAAAGCGCGCGUAGGCGGGAUAGCAAGUCAGAUGUGAAAGCCUAGGGCUUAACCAUAGAACUGCAUUAGAAACUGGUAUUCUAGAGUAUGGGAGAGGUAGGUGGAAUUCUUGGUGUAGGGGUGAAAUGCGUAGAGAUCAAGAGGAAUACUGAUUGCGAAGGCGACGUGCUGGAGCGUAACUGACGCUGAUGCGCGAAAGCGUGGGGAGCAAACAGGAUUAGAUACCCUGGUAGUC